rnacentral:lncRNA from 1 species
CUAGCAGGAACCAAAAAUCCAGAGUUAGAGGGAGGGGUUUCAGCUUAAAGAAAUACCAGACAUGCUACCUUUCUUUAAUAACCAUCAUUAUAUCCUCUUUCCCUAGCUCCAUCCUAUUUCCCCAUCUUUAUUAUUAUUUUUUAACUUUUAUUUUUUUGCAGAGAGUCGGUCUCACUAUGUUGCCUAGGCUUGUCUCAAACUCUGGGCUCAGUCUUCCUACCUCGUCCUCCCAAAGAGCUUGGGAUUACAGGCUUGAGCCACUGUGCCUGGCCUUCCCAUCUUUAUAGUGUAUCUUACCCUCUUGCAUGGUCUGCCCCAUCCCUGGCCUUAGCCCUGCUCUUCUCACCUCCUGUCUUUUCAGGUCACACAUUUUAUGACCAAGUGGCUAGGGUACUGUUGACACACAUGACUGGAAAGAGCCUGAGGAAGAAAUGGGGAGGGAGAUGAAUCUGAAGGCUAGGUUGUAAAGAACCCAUCCCCACUUCCUCCUGGAACACUUAGGGUCUAAGAGUCAUGUGCAGUUAGUCUUGAAAAGAACCUCUGAUUGGUAGCUCUUUCAUUUACUGGCAUGGCCACUCUUUAUCUUCUCCAUGGGAAUCUGGUCUCCAAGUCACUCUCCACUUGCCCAGUAUCUCUCUGCUGAGGAAGGGGCUAAGAGGUCUGAGGAAUUAUGACCCCUGCCUACCUCCUGAUAUUACUUACAUUGUGAGGAGACCUUUAGCCAGCUGGGAGGCCAAGGAUGGUAUGGGAUUGGGAGUAAGGCAAGAUCCAUUUGUUGAGCAAUGAGAGUGUUGAGAAAGAAAGAAAAAACUCUACAGGUGGGAAAAAGGAAGUAGAAAAGGAAAAGAGAAGAUCCUGGAGAGGGAGAUGACCUAAGAGAAGAGAGCAGCCCACCAUGGCUGGACAGCUGCAGGGCUCUCUCAGGGCAGUUCCAGCGGUCCCAGGCAAACUGAUACUUGCAUUCUUCAAUACCACUCUGGGCACCAGCUGCCACACUGCUGGAGUAAAUCAGGUAAGCCUGUAGGGACAUAGGGGUAAAAAUUCAGACUGAACUUAGGAGGCAUUUACCCUAAACUGACCAAACAGCCCUCUUCCUGCUCACUCUCCCAUCCCUCCAAAAUAAUGGAGUAAGCCUUUAAAUAUGCUGUCUCAUUUGACAUCACAAAUAACUUGUGAAAUAGGCACUAUAUUAUAGAUUAGGAAACUGAGGCCCAGGGAGUGAGCUAAAGUAAUUUCCCCAAAGUCCCAGAGCUAGCAAAUGGCAGAACUAGAAAUGAAACUCAGUUUUAUCAGACUCUAGUCCCUAUUAUCCUUUAUUCACCUUUCUUCACUAUACUAUCCUGUCUCUCCAAAAUGAGCCCAAAUCACCUAAUUCAUGAAAUUUAAGGAGUUCUCAUCACAUGACCAUCUUAGAAAACAACAUUUUGGAACUGAAAAUGCCCAUGAAUGUAAAGAUCAUGUAGUACAAUUCCAGCAUUUUAAACAUGGGAAACUGCAUCCCACCACGGGGCACUGAGAAGGAUGUGUGACUUUGCAGCCUGACACCUAUAAAAGGCUGUUGACUUUUAUGGCUCUGGAAAUUCUAGCCAUAAAUUCAGUGCUCCUGCGUUCUUAUCUUGGCGCUGACAGUGGUUUGCUAUGUGGUUUUAGAUGUGUCCCUAACACCCUCUGGGUCUCAAUCUUUCUAUCUGUAAUGUAUACAGCAUAAUAAAAUAUGUGGAUAUAAUGAAAAAUCUGCAUUUAUCAUCUUUAGUCAACAGGCUAAGAUUAGUGAAAUCCAUAUCAAUUAAUGGAAUUUGUUCUUACCUUUGGACCAGUCAUCAGGAAAUUGUUCACCGACCUAUAAGGGAAAAAAAAAACAAAAACAGAAUAUAAUGCAGAGACACCAACUUGUUUCUGCUUCCAAGAGUGACAGGAAAUCUGAGACUCCAGAAAAGUUAAACGUGUGUUCAGGCUCACCCAGCUAAUAAGUGAGUGAAGCAGGAUUUGAAUCCACAUUCAUCUGACUCCGUGGGACGUUAGAAGGAUACUUCUCUAAUUAGGAAGAGAAACAGAGACUGAAACAUAGAGUGGCCACCCAGCCUCACACAGCUAGACACUUGAAUUUGGACAGACAAGCAACCCAGCCACCUUUCAGUGUGGCUGUGUCAGUAUCGGAAUGAAAUGAACAUGACCCCCUCCAGCAGGGAAGGGAACACACAGUAAAGAUGGUCAAAAUGAGAGCUGAUGAAGAGAGAGACUGAGCUCAUAUCUGAACUGGAGAGAAACUCCGAACACCCUAGCAACCUGCAUUCUUAGAGAUGGGGUUUCACCGUGUUAGCCAGAAUGGUCUUCGUCUCCUGACCUCGAGAUCCUCCCGCCUCAGCCUCCCAAAGUGCUGGGAUUACAGGCUUGAGCCACCGUGCCUGGCUGCUAUCCAUAUAUCUUCUUGG